GAUGAAGAACGUAGCGAAAUGCGAUACUUGGUGUGAAUUGCAGAAUCCCGUAAACCAUCGAGUCUUUGAACGCAAGUUGCGCCCGAAGCCACUAGGCCGAGGGCACGCCUGCCUGGGCGUCACACGUCGUUGCCCCCCCCCCAUCUACUCCUUCGGGAUUGCGGGGGGCGGAUGAUGGCCUCCCGUGCGCCUAGCCGCGCGGUUGGCAUAAAUACCAAGUCCUCGGCGACGCACGCCACGACAAUCGGUGGUUGCGAAACCUCGGUUGCCCGUCGUGUGCGUUCGUCGCGCAUCGAGGGCUCGAAAAAAUGCUCGGCUCCGGCUCGGCUUUCAACGCGACCCCAGGUCAGGCGGGGUUACCCGCUGAAUUUAAGCAUAUCAAUAAGCGGAGGA
rnacentral:misc_RNA from 1 species